GACUGGAUCACUUCCUCUCACGUAUGCCAGGCUGAUUAUAGCAUUAAAAAUGAAGGCAAUGUUCACCAGUCUGUGCUCCACACAUAUGACUCCAGGGCUAGCUGCCAUGUCAGAUAUGGCGCUGCACUGGAGAUACAGAAGGCAAACAAGAUAAGCCAGAUCCCUGCUUUAACAGCACUUGUACUCCAAUGGAGGAGAGAAACUAAUAAAGUAAAUCAACAAGUAAAUAAAAUAACUUUCUAAAUUAUUUCUCUUAAAGUCAUCAAAUAGGGAAGUAGUUGCUUUGGUCUUUUCUCUCUCACAAUUCUGGAUGGCUUCGUCUACAUUAGCUAAUCUAAAUCAAAAGCACUGAAAAAUAGGCAAGCAAUCCUGUACUAUAGUUAUUUCAGAAUACUUCUAACUCUUUAAAAUACCUCUGUCCUAUUCCUCUCCUGGCUACUAAGCCAAGUUACCG